GCUGCUAAGUUUACUGAGUAAACGAAUGAGCGCAUUUUAAGUGAAUGAAGACCCCAAUCUCUGAGACCCCCUGUCUUCAUCUGUCUUCAUUGACUUCCCAUCAAUGGCUACCAUGGGAUCUCUUGACGGUCUUCACAAAAUGGCGGUGAAGAUCAAGGCGGAUCAUGGACUCCUGGAGAUGAAGAGAAUGGAGAUGCAGAGGAAUUAAGAAACUUGCCAAAGUCACACAGCUAAUCACCAGAGGUCCUCCCUUUCUACCCAGGAGAAACCUGACAACAGGGUGGCCAAGAAAACACCUUUGGUAAAGUCACGGAGAUUCAUGGAGCUGCCCCUUGAACCCGUCUCUCUAGCUCGGGGCUCAUGUCCUUUACGUCUCCACUGUUCUCGGCGGGGCUGUCUCCCCACACCCCCACUUCAGACCAUGGACUGUGGCUUCUCUGCUCCUUCAGUCUCAGAAUUCUG